rnacentral:rRNA from 1 species
CGCCUCUUGCCAACUAUAAGAGGUCCAGCCUGCCCAGUGACCCACGUUCAACGGCCGCGGUACCCUAACCACGCGAAGGUAGCGUAAUCAAUUGUCCCUUAAAUGGGGACUUGUAUGAAUGGCAUCACGAGGAUUUAACUGUCUCCCCUCUCUAAUCUGUGAAACUAAUCUUCCUGUGAAAAAGCAGGACUUCCCCUAUAAGACGAGAAGACCCUGUGGAACUUUAAACGAGUAACAAUUGCCCCUCCCUCCCCUCCCCGGAAUCUCCUCCCCCGCACUCUAACUACAAGUUUUCAGUUGGGGCGACUAUGGAGAAAAACCAAUCCUCCAUGAUGUAACCUUAAAUUUAAGAGCCACAAUCCACAGCUUUACGCACCAGCAAACUGACAUUCAUUGACCCAUAUCUUUGAUCAACGAACCAAGCUACCCCAGGGAUAACAGCGCAAUCCACUUUGAAAGCACAUAUCGACAAGUGGGCUUACGACCUCGAUGUUGGAUCAGGGUACCCCGGUGGUGCAGCCGCUACUAAAGGUUCGUUUGUUCAACGAUUAAAACCC